CCUGGCUCCGUUGAAGGCUAGCUACAGGCUUAACACAUGCAAGUCGAGGGGCAGCAUGGUCUUAGCUUGCUAAGGCCGAUGGCGACCGGCGCACGGGUGAGUAACACGUAUCCAACCUGCCGUCUACUCUUGGACAGCCUUCUGAAAGGAAGAUUAAUACAAGAUGGCAUCAUGAGUCCGCAUGUUCACAUGAUUAAAGGUAUUCCGGUAGACGAUGGGGAUGCGUUCCAUUAGAUAGUAGGCGGGGUAACGGCCCACCUAGUCUUCGAUGGAUAGGGGUUCUGAGAGGAAGGUCCCCCACAUUGGAACUGAGACACGGUCCAAACUCCUACGGGAGGCAGCAGUGAGGAAUAUUGGUCAAUGGGCGAGAGCCUGAACCAGCCAAGUAGCGUGAAGGAUGACUGCCCUAUGGGUUGUAAACUUCUUUUAUAAAGGAAUAAAGUCGGGUAUGGAUACCCGUUUGCAUGUACUUUAUGAAUAAGGAUCGGCUAACUCCGUGCCAGCAGCCGCGGUAAUACGGAGGAUCCGAGCGUUAUCCGGAUUUAUUGGGUUUAAAGGGAGCGUAGAUGGAUGUUUAAGUCAGUUGUGAAAGUUUGCGGCUCAACCGUAAAAUUGCAGUUGAUACUGGAUAUCUUGAGUGCAGUUGAGGCAGGCGGAAUUCGUGGUGUAGCGGUGAAAUGCUUAGAUAUCACGAAGAACUCCGAUUGCGAAGGCAGCCUGCUAAGCUGCAACUGACAUUGAGGCUCGAAAGUGUGGGUAUCAAACAGGAUUAGAUACCCUGGUAGUCCACACGGUAAACGAUGAAUACUCGCUGUUUGCGAUAUACAGCAAGCGGCCAAGCGAAAGCGUUAAGUAUUCCACCUGGGGAGUACGCCGGCAACGGUGAAACUCAAAGGAAUUGACGGGGGCCCGCACAAGCGGAGGAACAUGUGGUUUAAUUCGAUGAUACGCGAGGAACCUUACCCGGGCUUAAAUUGCAGAUGAAUUACGGUGAAAGCCGUAAGCCGCAAGGCAUCUGUGAAGGUGCUGCAUGGUUGUCGUCAGCUCGUGCCGUGAGGUGUCGGCUUAAGUGCCAUAACGAGCGCAACCCUUGUUGUCAGUUACUAACAGGUUCCGCUGAGGACUCUGACAAGACUGCCAUCGUAAGAUGUGAGGAAGGUGGGGAUGACGUCAAAUCAGCACGGCCCUUACGUCCGGGGCUACACACGUGUUACAAUGGGGGGUACAGAGGGCCGCUACCACGCGAGUGGAUGCCAAUCCCAAAAACCUCUCUCAGUUCGGACUGGAGUCUGCAACCCGACUCCACGAAGCUGGAUUCGCUAGUAAUCGCGCAUCAGCCACGGCGCGGUGAAUACGUUCCCGGGCCUUGUACACACCGCCC
rnacentral:rRNA from 1 species